rnacentral:rRNA from 1 species
AAACAAAAAAAUCGGGUGGACUAGACUGCGUGUUGUGCGUCUCUUGUCUUGUUGCGACGCGGCUUGCGGCUCCGUGCCCUUUAGGUAACCUACCCUCAGGACAGGGACAAACCCGGGAAACUGGGGCUAAUACCAGAUAGGCGAGGACGCCUGGAAUGGUUCUUCACCCAAAGGACCUUGGAAACAUGCUUCCAAGUCGCCUGGGGAUGGGACCGCGUCCGAUCAGGUUGUUGGUGAGGUAAUGGCUCACCAAGCCUAUAACCGGUACGGGCCGUGAGAGCGGUAGCCCGGAGAUGGGCACUGAGACAAGGGCCCAGGCCCUACGGGGCGCAGCAGUCGCGAAAACUCCGCAAUGCACGAAAGUGUGACGGGGCUACCCCGAGUGCCGUCCGCUGAGGACGGCUUUUCCUCGGUGUAACUAGCCGGGGGAAUAAGGAGAGGGCAAGACUGGUGUCAGCCGCCGCGGUAAUACCAGCUCUCCGAGUUGUAGGGAUGAUUAUUGGGCUUAAAGCGUCCGUAGCCGGCUUAGCAAGUCUCCUGUUAAAUUCAGCGACCCAAUCGUUGAGCCGCGGGAGAUACUACUAGGCUAGGAGGCGGGAGAGGUCGACGGUACUUUCGGGGUAGGGGUGAAAUCCUAUAAUCCCGGGAGGACCACCAGUGGCGAAGGCUGUCGACUAGAACGCGCUCGACGGUGAGGGACGAAAGCUGGGGGAGCGAACCGGAUUAGAUACCCGGGUAGUCCCAGCUGUAAACGAUGCGAGCUAGGUGUUGGGGUGGCUACGUGCCACUUCAGUGCCGCAGGGAAGCCAUUAAGCUCGCCGCCUGGGGAGUACGGCCGCAAGGCUGAAACUCAAAUGAAUUGACG